GACGGAGGUCCCUAGCGUUGUUCGGAAUCACUGGGCUUAAAGCGCGUGUAGGCGGGACGGUAAGUACUUUGUGAAAUCCCCGGUCUCAACCCGGGAAUGGCUUGGUAUACUAUCGUCCUUGAGGCAGGUAGGGGUCGCUGGAACCUUAGGUGGAGCGGUGAAAUGCGUAGAUAUCUAAGGGAACGCCUGUGGCGAAAGCGGGUGACUGGGCCUGUCCUGACGCUGAGACGCGAAAGCGUAGGGAGCAAACGGG
rnacentral:rRNA from 1 species